rnacentral:lncRNA from 1 species
CCAACUUUUAACCUUUUCAGAGUUCAUUUGAAAUGCUUUUCAAUUUCAGGGUAUUAUAGCUGAAAAAAUCAGUAAAUGCAUGAAAAAUAACAAAUGAAGUCAGAAAGGGUUGAAAAUUGAUGAUGUGGCUUUGAAUGGUGCAUUUUGAGCAUAUAAAAACUAUGGAGUUCAAAUAAGUUCAAAAAAUGAAAUCCUUUUGUAACAGAUGAGUUUCCGUAUGAAACCCUGAUACUUCGAAAGAGAUUGUCCGUUUUGUACACGAAGUGCAUCCAGUUUUUUCCGUAAGCCUCUCUACUUUCUUGCACAUGCUAUGUGGGUGAAAUGAUGAUACCAUGCCAACUUUUAACCUUUUCAGAGUUCAUUUGAAAUGCUUUUCAAUUUCAGGGUCUUAUAGCUGAAAAAAUCAGUAAAUGCAUGAAAAAUAACAAAUGAAGUCAGAAAGGGUUGAAAAUUGAUGAUGUGGCUUUGAAUGGUGCAUUUUGAACAUAGAAAAACUAUGGAGUUCAAAUAAGUUCAAAAAACAAGAAAUCCUUUUGUAACAGACGAGUUUCCGUAUGAAACCCUGAUUCUUCGAAAG